GAUGAACGCUGGCGGCGUGCCUAAUACAUGCAAGGCGAGCGAACGGACGAGAAGCUUGCUUCUCUGAUGUUAGCGGCGGACGGGUGAGUAACACGUGGAUAACCUACCUAUAAGACUGGGAUAACUUCGGGAAACCGUAGCUAAUACCGGAUAAUAUUUUGAACCGCAUGGUUCAAAAGUGAAAGACGGUCUUGCUGUCACUUAUAGAUGGAUCCGCGCUGCAUUAGCUAGUUGGUAAGGUAACGGCUUACCAAGGCAACGAUGCAUAGCCGACCUGAGAGGGUGAUCGGCCACACUGGAACUGAGACACGGUCCAGACUCCUACGGGAGGCAGCAGUAGGGAAUCUUCCGCAAUGGGCGAAAGCCUGACGGAGCAACGCCGCGUGAGUGAUGAAGGUCUUCGGAUCGUAAAACUCUGUUAUUAGGGAAGAACAUAUGUGUAAGUAACUGUGCACAUCUUGACGGUACCUAAUCAGAAAGCCACGGCUAACUACGUG
rnacentral:rRNA from 1 species